AUUGAACGCUGGCGGCAUGCUUUACACAUGCAAGUCGAACGCGCCAGGGGGCAACUCCUGGUGAGUGGCGAACGGGUGAGUAAUGCAUCGGAACGUGUCCCGUAGUGGGGGAUAACGCCGCGAAAGCGGCGCUAAUACCGCAUAUGCUCUACGGAGGAAAGUGGGGGACCGCAAGGCCUCACGCUAUGGGGGCGGCCGAUGUCCGAUUAGCUUGUUGGCGGGGUAAUGGCCCACCAAGGCGACGAUCGGUAGCUGGUCUGAGAGGAUGAUCAGCCACACUGGGACUGAGACACGGCCCAGACUCCGACGGGAGGCAGCAGUGGGGAAUUUUGGACAAUGGGGGAAACCCUGAUCCAGCCAUGCCGCGUGAGGGAAGAAGGCCUUCGGGUUGUAAACCGCUUUUGUCCGGGAAGAAAAGGCGCUCCCUAAUAAGGGGCGUUCUUGACGGUACCGGGAGAAUAAGCACCGGCUAACUACGUGCCAGCCGCCGCUGUAAAAC
rnacentral:rRNA from 1 species